UACGGAGGGUGCAAGCGUUAUCCGGAUUCACUGGGUUUAAAGGGUGCGUAGGAGGGCAGGUAAGUCAGUGGUGAAAUCUCCAAGCUUAACUUGGAACUGCCGUUGAUACUAUCUGUCUUGAAUAUUGUGGAGGUGAGCGGAAUAUGUCAUGUAGCGGUGAAAUGCUUAGAUAUGACAUAGAACACCAAUUGCGAAGGCAGCUCACUACACAAUCAUUGACUCUGAGGCACGAAAGCGUGGGGAGCAAACAGG
rnacentral:rRNA from 1 species